rnacentral:rRNA from 1 species
UACGUAGGGUGCAAGCGUUGUCCGGAAUUAUUGGGCGUAAAGAGCUCGUAGGCGGUCUGUCGCGUCUGCUGUGAAAACUCGGGGCUUAACCCCGGGCCUGCAGUGGGUACGGGCAGACUAGAGUGCGGUAGGGGAGACUGGAAUUCCUGGUGUAGCGGUGAAAUGCGCAGAUAUCAGGAGGAACACCGGUGGCGAAGGCGAGUCUCUGGGCCGUAACUGACGCUGAGGAGCGAAAGCGUGGGGAGCGAACAGG